ensembl:snRNA U6 U6 spliceosomal RNA
GUGCUCAUUUCAGCAGCACAUAUACUAAAAUUGAAACGAUACAGAGAAGAUGAGCAUGGCCCCUGCGCAAGGGUGACACACAAAUUGUUGAAGUGUCCCAUACGUUU